AUACUAGUAAUUUAAUUUAAAAUAUUAGUUUUGUAAACUACUCUUAGAUAUAGUAUCUCUAGUGUA
rnacentral:tRNA from 1 species